rnacentral:rRNA from 1 species
GGUUAAGCGACUAAGCGUACACGGUGGAUGCCUAGGCAAUCAGAGGCGAUGAAGGACGUGCUAAUCUGCGAUAAGCGUCGGUAAGGUGAUAUGAACCGUUACAACCGACGAUUUCCGAAUGGGGAAACCCAGUGCAAUYCGUUGCACUAUCGUUUGAUGAAUACAUAGUCAAACGAAGCGAACCGGGGGAACUGAAACAUCUCAGUACCCCGAGGAAAAGAAAUCAACCGAGAUUCCCCUAGUAGCGGCGAGCGAACGGGGAGCAGCCCAGAGUCUUAAUCAGCAUUAGCAUCAGGAGAACGGUCUGGAAAGUCCGGCAGUAAAGGGUGAUAGCCCCGUAUCCGAAGGUGUUAGUGUUGUGAACUCGACGAGUAGGGCGGGACACGUGUUAUCCUGUCUGAAUAUGGGGGGACCAUCCUCCAAGGCUAAAUACUCCUGAUUGACCGAUAGUGAACCAGUACCGUGAGGG